rnacentral:rRNA from 1 species
GAUGAACGCUGGCGGCGUGCCUAAUACAUGCAAGUCGAGCGAACGGACGAGAAGCUUGCUUCUCUGAUGUUAGCGGCGGACGGGUGAGUAACACGUGGAUAACCUACCUAUAAGACUGGGAUAACUUCGGGAAACCGGAGCUAAUACCGGAUGAUAUUUUGAACCGCAUGGUUCAAAAGUGAAAGACGGUCUUGCUGUCACUUAUAGAUGGAUCCGCGCUGCAUUAGCUAGUUGGUAAGGUAACGGCUUACCAAGGCAACGAUGCAUAGCCGACCUGAGAGGGUGAUCGGCCACACUGGAACUGAGACACGGUCCAGACUCCUACGGGAGGCAGCAGUAGGGAAUCUUACGCAAUGGGCGAAAGCCUGACGGAGCAACGCCGCGUGAGUGAUGAAGGUCUUCGGAUCGUAAAACUCUGUUAUUAGGGAAGAACAUAUGUGUAAGUAACUGUGCACAUCGUGACGGUACCUAAUCAGAAAGCCACGGCUAACUACG